rnacentral:rRNA from 1 species
UACGUAGGUGGCUAGCGUUGUCCGGAUUUACUGGGCGUAAAGAGCGCGCAGGCGGUCGUUCAAGUCGAGUGUGAAAGCCCCGGCUCAACUGGGGAGGGUCACUCGAUACUGAUCGACUCGAAGGCAGGAGAGGGAAGCGGAAUUCCCGGUGUAGUGGUGAAAUGCGUAGAUAUCGGGAGGAACACCAGUGGCGAAGGCGGCUUUCUGGCCUGCUCUUGACGCUGAGGCGCGAAAGCUAGGGUACGCAAACGGG